CCUACGGAUCGGACCCCCUCGGGGUCCUUCCAACGGAUCCCUUAAGUCCCCUGUCCUUUGCUUCAUAAUAAAAUUGUGAAGACUAAGUGGAAAAAGAUAAAACAAGGGAUUAAAAAGAACGGGCCUCUGG
rnacentral:rRNA from 4 species